rnacentral:rRNA from 1 species
ACGGAAGGCAGCAGUGGGGAAUAUUGCACAAUGGGGGAAACCCUGAUGCAGCGAUGCCGCGUGGAGGAAGAAGGUUUUCGGAUUGUAAACUCCUGUCUUAAAGGACGAUAAUGACGGUACUUUAGGAGGAAGCUCCGGCUAACUACGUGCCAGCAGCCGCGGUAAUACGUAGGGAGCGAGCGUUGUCCGGAAUUACUGGGUGUAAAGGGAGCGUAGGCGGGACUGCAAGUCAGAUGUGAAAUGCCGGGGCUUAGCCCCGGAGCUGCAUUUGAAACUGUGGUUCUUGAGUGAAGUAGAGGCAAGCGGAAUUCCUGGUGUAGCGGUGAAAUGCGUAGAUAUCAGGAGGAACACCGGUGGCGAAGGCGGCUUGCUGGGCUUUUACUGACGCUGAGGCUCGAAAGCGUGGGUAGCAAACAGGAUUAGAUACCCUGGUA